AGUCACUGACAUUAGAUACCCGCGUAGUCCAGGGUGUAAACGCUGCAGACUUGGUGUUGGAAGUCCUUUGGGGCAUUCAGUGCCGGAGAGAAGUUGUUAAGUCUGCUACUUGGGAGUACGUCCGCAAGGAUGAAACUUAAAGGAAUUGGCGGGGGAGCACCGCAACGGGAGGAGCGUGCGGUUUAAUUGGAUUCAACACCGUAAAACUCACCAGGGAAGACUGUUACAUGAAAGCCGAGAUGAAGACUCUGCUAGAUUUUCAG
rnacentral:rRNA from 1 species